rnacentral:rRNA from 1 species
CGCGCCGGGAGGGGCCUGCGGCCCAUCAGGUAGUCGGUGUGGUAAUGGCGCACCGAGCCCAUGACGGGUACCUGGUCUUAGAAGACGAACAGGCCGACUUGGACUGUAGACACGCGCCAGAAUCCUAUACGGAGAGACCGGCGAGGAAUAUUCCGCGAUGUACGCGCGUCUGACAGAGCAAAGCCGCGUGUCGCAUAACAGACUCCGCGUUGUUAGACGGCUUUUGGGUGUGACACUAAUAACGGUGCCACCCGAGUAUAACCCGGGUAUAUCUGUGCCACAAGACGCGGUAUGACACAGGGGGCAAACGUUUUCCGCACUCACUGUGCGUAUAGGGUGUGCACGCGGUGCCGUGCGUCUGCGCUGAAAGCGCCCGCGUUAACCGCGCGAGAGUGCGCCGAUAUAACAGGGCUUUAGGCACAGUAUAGAGUUGGCGGAAAUCCGGGUGUAUUGGUGAAAUGCGGUUAGAUCCGGAGGAACGUCUCGUGGCGUAUGCGGCCCACUGUGGCUGUCCUGACGCUUUAGGCACGAAAAGCGUUGCGAGCGCAACCGGAUUAGAUAUCCCCGGUAGUCCACGCCGUAAACGCUGUCGGCUCGGUGUGUGGUCUCAUUACGGGACUGCGUGCCCCAGCUCACGCGGUAAGCCGACCGCCUGGGGACUACGGCCGCAAGGCUAAACAUCAAAGGAAUUGACGGGGGCCCGCACAAGCAGCGGAGCGUGUGGUUUAAUUCGACGCAACGCGAAGAACCUUACCCAGAUUUGACAUGCGACUGCAAGCGCACGGAAACGUGUGACCUGCGAGGGUGUCGCACAGGUGCUGCAUGGCUGUCGUCAGCUCGUGUCGUGAGAUGUUGGGUUAAGUCCCGCAACGAGCGCAACCCCCGCCGUCAGUUAUACGUGUCUGGCGGGACUGCCGGCUGUUUGGUCGGAGGAAGGCGGGGAUGACGUCAAGUCCGCAUGGCCCGUACGUCUGGGGCGACACACACGCUACAAUGGCCGGCACAG